rnacentral:rRNA from 1 species
GACGAACGCUGGCGGCGUGCUUAACACAUGCAAGUCGAACGGAAAGGCCCUGCUUUUGUGGGGUGCUCGAGUGGCGAACGGGUGAGUAACACGUGAGUAACCUGCCCUUGACUUUGGGAUAACCUCAGGAAACUGGGGCUAAUACCGGAUAGGAGCUCCUGCUGCAUGGUGGGGGUUGGAAAGUUUCGGCGGUUGGGGAUGGACUCGCGGCUUAUCAGCUUGUUGGUGGGGUAGUGGCUUACCAAGGCUUUGACGGGUAGCCGGCCUGAGAGGGUGAACGGCCACAUUGGGACUGAGAUACGGCCCAGACUCCUACGGGAGGCAGCAGUGGGGAAUAUUGCACAAUGGGCGGAAGCCUGAUGCAGCAACGCCGCGUGCGGGAUGACGGCCUUCGGGUUGUAAACCGCUUUCGCCUGUGACGAAGCGUGAGUGACGGUAAUGGGUAAAGAAGCACCGGCUAGCUACGUGCCAGCAGCCGCGGUGAUACGUAGGGUGCGAGCGUUGUCCGGAUUUAUUGGGCGUAAAGGGCUCGUAGGUGGUUGAUCGCGUCGGAAGUGUAAUCUUGGGGCUUAACCCUGAGCGUGCUUUCGAUACGGGUUGACUUGAGGAAGGUAGGGGAGAAUGGAAUUCCUGGUGGAGCGGUGGAAUGCGCAGAUAUCAGGAGGAACACCAGUGGCGAAGGCGGUUCUCUGGGCCUUUCCUGACGCUGAGGAGCGAAAGCGUGGGGAGCGAACAGGCUUAGAUACCCUGGUAGUCCACGCUGUAAACGGUGGGUACUAGGUGUGGGGUCCAUUCCACGGGUUCCGUGCCGUAGCUAACGCUUUAAGUACCCCGCCUGGGGAGUACGGCCGCAAGGCUAAAACUCAAAGGAAUUGACGGGGCCCCGCACAAGCGGCGGAGCAUGCGGAUUAAUUCGAUGCAACGCGUAGAACCUUACCUGGGUUUGACAUGGAUCGGGAGUGCUCAGAGAUGGGUGUGCCUCUUUUGGGGUCGGUUCACAGGUGGUGCAUGCCUGUCGUCAGCUCGUGUCGUGAGAUGUUGGGUUAAGUCCCGCAACGAGCGCAACCCUUGUUCACUGUUGCCAGCACGUUAUGGUGGGGACUCAGUGGAGACCGCCGGGGUCAACUCGGAGGAAGGUGGGGAUGACGUCAAGUCAUCAUGCCCCUUAUGUCCAGGGCUUCACGCAUGCUACAAUGGCUGGUACAGAGAGUGGCGAGCCUGUGAGGGUGAGCGAAUCUCGGAAAGCCGGUCUCAGUUCGGAUUGGGGUCUGCAACUCGACCUCAUGAAGUCGGAGUCGCUAGUAAUCGCAGAUCAGCAACGCUGCGGUGAAUACGUUCCCGGG